rnacentral:rRNA from 1 species
GACAGAGGUGCCAAGCGUUAGGCGGAAUCACUGGGCUUAAAGCGUGUGUAGGCGGAAUGGUAAGUACCUUGUGAAAUCCCACGGCUCAACCGUGGAACUGCUCGGUAUACUGCUUUUCUUGAGCCACUUAGGGGCUGUCGGAACAAACGGUGGAGCGGUGAAAUGCGUAGAUAUCAGGAAGAACACCGGUGGCGAAGGCGGCUCGCUGGGCAGUGGCUGACGCUGAGGCGCGACAGCGUGGGGAGCAAACAGG